rnacentral:lncRNA from 10 species
GAGCUGGGGAUUGUGGUAUGUGCCUUUAGUCCUAGCUACUCCGGAGGCUGAGGCAGGAGGAUCACCUGAGCCCAGGACUUUGAGGCCGCUGUAAGCUAUGAUCAUGCCACUGCACUCCAGCUCAGGCAACAGUGAGACCCGGUCUCAACAAACAAAAGAAAAUAAAAGAAUGGUAGACAAGGAAAGCAGUUGAACAGCUAUGCGAGAAGCCUACUUUCUCUUCAUGUAACACGUUGGCCUAAGAGAUCUAUAGAGCUUUUUAAAAACAAAGAAGGCAGCAAGAUUUAAAAUAAUAAAACCAGCAAUAGGUAUUUUUAAAAGUGAGAGAAACUAUCAGAGAGCUGUAGCAGAAAAGCAAGUUAAAAAUAAAGGAAACAGAAAAGGAACUGAUACAGCUGAUUUGAUACUGGAAAAAUCACCCAGGAGGCAGCGUGGACAAUGGAUUGGAGAAGGGCGAACAUUCAGUCAGAGACUUUGUGAGCUUACUGUAAAUUAGAGGGAGCAAAUUGGAGGAGAAAUGACAAAAGAAACAGAAAAAAUGUUUAAUCAGACAAAGGAACUAAAAAACCUCAGUCUUAAUUAGAAGAUGGUCAAACAAAUCUCUUAACUGAUGUUCACAAUGAUGGUUUCAAGUCAUCUAAGG